AACAGCUGGCUUGUGCCCUUCCCUGGAAAACAAAAGAAAUGCCUGUCUGAAUGUCCCUGUCUGAAUGUCCCUGGCAAAUCUGUCGUCUCUUUCUCAAGCCCAGUGACAAGGGAGCGGACACCGGGCCGGACAGCUUUUGCCAAGCACCUGGCUUCUCUACCGCCUUUGCAACGGCCCCUCUCAGACACCGCAUCUCGACGUCAGCCAAGCAGGGGACACAGGGAUGCACCUCUAUGGUAUUCUCCUGAAGACAAAACAAAACAAAAUUCACCUUUAAUAUUCUUAAGCCCGUGUCACUGCAGGUGAAGAAUCAAAGUAUUAAAAUAUUUACAGUUGGAAGUACAGACUCUUCACUGUUUUGACUAAAUGGUAAGCAGCUGCAAUAAACCUUAGCUCUGUAGGCGGCUCCUUAGGAAUCUAGCUACGAAAGCAAUUUUUAAUAGCCCCCUACCCUAGGAAGCUGUGUCUGCAGACGACACGAAUGAGCUCCGCCACCAUCAGAACCUCUCUGGCCCGUUUCUUUUAUCUUGCUUUAUUUUUAUUUACUUUUAAAAUAGGAGCGUCAAGUUAAAUGAGUUUCAGAGAUUUCAUACUUUCAAAACUGCCUACUUUCAAAAAAUGCUUCACAGAUCUUAAAAUGAGGUGGUAGGUGAGACUCGACUCUGGGGAAUAGUAACUAUGCAUACAACAAAAAUCUGAUCCGACAGGAGACAGUUACAAGGUAGCUGCGAGGAAUCCCUUCAGGCCCCCUGGCAUUUCAUCCUGGAAACUUCGUCACCGCCUCACAAGAAAGACUUCAGAGUGCAAAUGAGGAAAGAGAAGCU
rnacentral:lncRNA from 1 species